rnacentral:rRNA from 1 species
CGCAUCUGUGCAUGCAGCAUAUCAAUAGCGGAGGAAAAGAAACUAACAAGGAUUCCCUUAGUAACGGCGAGUGAAGCGGGAAGAGCUCAAAUUUGAAAUCUUCAAGGUUUUACCUUGACGAAUUGUAGUUUAAAGAAGUGUUUUCUGUUGAAGUUUUGGUAAAAGUUCUUUGGAAUAGGACAUCAUAGAGGGUGAGAAUCCCGUAUUUGACCAUUAUUUUCAGCUGUGUGAUACACUUUCAAAGAGUCGGAUUGUUUGGGAAUGCAGUCCAAAAUGGGUGGUAAAUUUCAUCUAAAGCUAAAUAUUGGCGAGAGACCGAUAGCGAACAAGUACCGUGAGGGAAAGAUGAAAAGAACUUUGAAAAGAGAGUUAAACAGUACGUGAAAUUGUCAAAAGGGAAGCGUUUGACACCAGUGUUGUUUUCUCGAAAAUCAAUUAAAAAGAGUUAGAUUUUGUUGUGUAUUGACCUUAACAGCUUGCAUUUCAAUUUUCUUGCUUUUUUUAAUGCACUUUUCGUUUAACAAGUCAACGUCAGUUUCUUUUGUUGUAAAAAGGUCAUUGGAAGGUGGCUUUCUUUCGGAGAAAGUGUUUAUAGCCUUUGACUCCUGCAAUCGGAGAGACUGAGGUCUGCAGCGUAGAUCCUUCGGGGUUAGAUACAUUUGUGCUAAGUUAUAGCUUUUUAUAGACAACUUGUUGACUAUGAUUAGUCUUGUAGCUUACUCGCUUAUGCUAUUUUACCUACGCUUAGGAUGUUGACACACGCGCGUGCUCG